GAGGGAAUAGCUCAGUGGUCGAGUGUGUGCCCAGCAUGCACAAGGUCCUGGGUUCAAUCCCCAGUACUUCCA
rnacentral:tRNA from 1 species